rnacentral:tRNA from 1 species
GAUAGUUCAGUGGUAGAAUGUCUCCUUGGCAUGGAGAAGGUCCCAGGUUUAAUUUCCAAUAUCUCCA